UACGGAGGGUGCGAGCGUUGUCCGGAAUCAUUGGGCGUAAAGGGCGCGUAGGUGGCUUCUUAAGCGUGCGGUGAAAGCCUGGGGCUCAACCCCGGGUCGGCCGUGCGAACUGGGGGGCUGGAGCACUGUAGAGGCAGGCGGAAUUCCGGGUGUAGCGGUGGAAUGCGUAGAGAUCCGGAAGAACACCAACGGCGAAAGCACUCUGCUGGGCCGACACUGACACUGAGAGACGAAAGCUAGGGGAGCGAAUGGG
rnacentral:rRNA from 1 species